rnacentral:rRNA from 1 species
AUUGAACGCUGGCGGCAGGCCUAACACAUGCAAGUCGAGCGAGCGGCGGACGGGUGAGUAAUGUAUGGGGAUCUGCAUGAUGGAGGGGGAUAACUACUGGAAACGGUAGCUAAUACCGCAUACCAUCAGAUGACCCCAUAUGGGAUUAGCUAGUGGGUGGGGUAACGGCUCACCUAGGCGACGAUCCCUAGCUGGUCUGAGAGGAUGAUCAGCCACACUGGGACUGAGACACGGCCCAGACUCCUACGGGAGGCAGCAGUGGGGAAUAUUGCACAAUGGGCGCAAGCCUGAUGCAGCCAUGCCGCGUGUAUGAAGAAGGCCUUCGGGUUGUAAAGUACUUUCAGUCGGGAGGCGUUACCGACAGAAGAAGCACCGGCUAACUCCGUGCCAGCAGCCGCGGUAAUUC